ACUCAAAUGAAUUGACGGGGGCCCGCACAAGCGGUGGAGUAUGUGGUUUAAUUCGAUGCAACGCGAAGAACCUUACCUGCUCUUGACAUGUCAGGAACCUUACAGAGAUGUAGGGGUGCCGCAAGGAGCCUGAACACAGGUGCUGCAUGGCUGUCGUCAGCUCGUGUCGUGAGAUGUUGGGUUAAGUCCCGCAACGAGCGCAACCCUUGUCCUUAGUUGCCAUCAUUUAGUUGGGCACUCUAAGGAGACUGCCGGUGACAAACCGGAGGAAGGUGGGGAUGACGUCAAGUCCUCAUGGCCCUUAUGAGCAGGGCUACACACGUACUACAAUGGUCGGUACAGAGGGUCGCCAACCCGCGAGGGGGAGCUAAUCCCGAAAAGCCGAUCGUAGUCCGGAUCGGAGUCUGCAACUCGACUCCGUGAAGUCGGAAUCGCUAGUAAUCGCGGAUCAGCAUUGCCGCGGUGAAUACGUUCCCGGGCCUUGCACACACCGCCCGU
rnacentral:rRNA from 1 species